GAUGAAGAACGCAGCGAAAUGCGAUACGUAAUGUGAAUUGCAGAAUUCAGUGAAUCAUCGAGUCUUUGAACGCACAUUGCGCCCCCUGGUAUUCCGGGGGGCAUGCCUGUCCGAGCGUCAUUGCUGCCCUCAAGCACGGCUUGUGUGUUGGGCCUCCGUCCUCCGAUCCCGGGGGACGGGCCCGAAAGGCAGCGGCGGCACCGCGUCCGGUCCUCGAGCGUAUGGGGCUUUGUCACCCGCUCUGUAGGCCCGGCCGGCGCUUGCCGAUCAACCCAAAUUUUUAUCCAGGUUGACCUCGGAUCAGGUAGGGAUACCCGCUGAACUUAAGCAUAUCAAUAAGCGGAGGA
rnacentral:misc_RNA from 1 species